rnacentral:tRNA from 1 species
GGUCCGUUGGUCAAGGGGUUAAGACACCGCCUUUUACGGCGGUAACACGGGUUCGAAUCCCGUACGGACUA